ACUCUCCCUUGCUCUCUCUCACACAUCAAUUCCAUCUCAUGAUCUCUUCCAAUCUCCCACUCCAGAUAUGGCAAUUUUAGCCGACUAACGGAUUAUUCAACUUAAUCGAUCCAAAUGGAAGGGGGAGGAGGGAGGGGGAGGGUUUAUCGGAUGUAUUAGAACUCGGGAUGGGCAUGAAUCUUAGAAAAAAAAUAAAGUAGUUUUGGAUUGAUAUGGAUAAUCGUAUGCCCAUCUCGAACUCAAUUCGAUAUAAUUUUAAUCUAAACCUCCUUUCAAAAUUAUAAUUAUUUUAUAAUAUUUACAUA
rnacentral:lncRNA from 1 species